GGCUCCAAAACUCAGGGGUUAGAGCACUGGUCUUGUAAACCAGUGGUCACUUGUUCAAAUCUCACUGGAGCCU
rnacentral:tRNA from 1 species